GCAGUCACCAGACACAUUCAUGACAGACAACUGCAGAGCAAUGAAGGGAGCCCUUACAGCAACUUGGCCUGCAGCUCGUCAGUUUUUAUGCAUCUUCCAUAUACUUCAACAAGUGUGGCGAUGGCUGCUUCAAUCCCAGCACCGCAUCAGGAAAGAGGAUCGCCAGGAGUUGAUGGCUGUCAUGAAGUCCCUCGUAUAUGCACCAUCGACGGACCAUUUCUUCAAACUUUAUCAAGACUUCAAAACUAAUCCUCUUUCACAGAGAUAUAAUAACUUCAGCAGCUACCUGGACACUCUAAUGGAAAGGAGAGAAGAAUGGGCUGUUACGUUCAGGGCAGGUGCGAUGCUACGGGGUCAUAACACCAACAAUUAUUGCGAGGCAACCAUGUGCAUCAUCAAGGAAGUUGUCCUGAAUAGGUGCAAGGCAUAUAACACCGUUCAGCUCAUGAUUUUCAUGGUUGAAAUUUUUGACUCUUAUAUGAAGAAGAGAUUAAUAGACGUUGCUGUAGGAAGGCGGAGGACAAAAAAUGUAAGUAUGGGGACACUGUCCCUUGACGCUGUCACUUCCCUAGGCAACGGAAGAUAUACUGUGAGGAGCCAGUCUGCUGCAUCCCUUGAGUAUGCUGUAGAUGUGAAGGCUGGCUUCUGUGAAUGUAACGUGGGACAAAAUGGUGCUCUCUGUAAACACCAAGUCGCCUGUGCAGAACACAGCAUGACAGCCCUCCCCCAAGUAUUCGCUGCAACAAGUGAAAACAGGCGGUGGCUGGCGUCAGUGGCAGUCGGA